AUUGAACGCUGGCGGCAUGCCUUACACAUGCAAGUCGAACGGCAGCACGGGAGCAAUCCUGGUGGCGAGUGGCGAACGGGUGAGUAAUAUAUCGGAACGUGCCCAGUCGUGGGGGAUAACGCAGCGAAAGCUGUGCUAAUACCGCAUACGAUCUAAGGAUGAAAGCGGGGGAUCGCAAGACCUCGCGCGAUUGGAGCGGCCGAUAUCAGAUUAGCUAGUUGGUGGGGUAAAGGCCCACCAAGGCGACGAUCUGUAGCUGGUCUGAGAGGACGACCAGCCACACGGGAACUGAGACACGGGCCAGACUCCUACGGGAGGCAGCAGUGUGGAAUUUUGGACAAUGGGCGCAAGCCUGAUCCAGCAAUGCCGCGUGCAGGAUGAAGGCCUUCGGGUUGUAAACUGCUUUUGUACGGAACGAAACGGCCCUUUCUAAUACAAGGGGCUAAUGACGGUACCGUAAGAAUAAGCACCGGCUAACUACGUGCCAGCCGCCGCCGUAAGAC
rnacentral:rRNA from 1 species